AGCACUCAAAAAAUUUUUAUAUGUAAUCUAAGAAUGUUGAUCAGCUUAUGAGUUUGAUGAGUAUCAUCUUGACAAAUUGUAGAAGCUUUUAUCGAUUUUGCACUCUGUAUUUCAACAUUGCCAUCUCUCAUAUUCUUUGGAAAGUACUUAGGAAUUGAAUCCUGGGUGUCUCAUAUGCUAGCCAAGAGCUCGGCCCGGGAUCUCAAGUUUUCGUUUUGUCUCUGAAAAUCCUAUGACUCCUAACGGACAUUGUGGAAUACAUCGAAGAUACACAUUGAGAAUUCAGGCACACUGGGAUGCCGUGCUCUGAAGAGACACCAUGACCAUGGCACCUCUUCGAAGGAAAACAUUUCAUUGAGGGUGCUGGCUUCCAGUUUCAGAGGUUCAAGCCAUUAUCAUCACGACGGGAAACAUAGUGGCAGGCAUGCAGGCAGAUGUGGUGCUUGAGAAAUAGCUGAGAGACCUACAUCUUGCAGGCAACAGUGUUGUGGGAUAUUAUUUGUAUUUUAAUAAAUAAAUCUUGCCUGAAGACCAGAGGCAAAGCUAAAGCCACUAGAGGCCAGGUAAUGGUGGCACACACCUUUAACCCCAGAAUUUGGGAGGCAGGAGCAGAUGGAUCUCUGUGAAUUCAAGGCCACCCUGGGCUACACAACAAGAUCAAUGCAGAAACAAAUCCAGGUGGUGGUGCCUCACCUCUGAUCCCAGUACUAGGGAGUCCUGACUUUAAUCCCAGCACUAGAGGGAAUAUAAAAUGGGAGGAGAGAGAGGCUUAGUUAGUUAGUUUGCAGUUGCCCAGCCUCUGUAGAGGCUUCUCUGGUGGCUUGGCUACCUUGCUUUUCUGGUUUUCAGGUAGAACCCCAAUUUCUGUCUCUGGGUUUUUAUUAGUCAUGUCACACAACAGGAGAUCAACUGAGACACUGGGUGGUAUCCUGAGCAUAGGAAACCUCACAGCUGCCCCCACACUGUCACACUUCCUCCAACAAGGCACACCCACUCCAACAAAGCCACACCUCCUAAUAGUGCCACUCCCUAUGAGAUUAUGGGGGUCAAUUACAUUCAAACUACUAUAGGGUGUGUUUUCACUUUUAUUGGACAUUG